rnacentral:misc_RNA from 1 species
ACAUCCGAAUUACUAAGGUUCGG